rnacentral:rRNA from 1 species
UACAGAGGCCUCAAGCGUUAGGCGGAAUCACUGGGCUUAAAGCGUGUGUAGGUGGAUGCCUAAGUGCCUUGUGAAAUCCCAUGGCUUAACCAUGGAAUUGCUUGGCAUACUGGGUGUCUUGAGCCACUCAGGGGCUACUGGAACUAACGGUGGAGCGGUGAAAUGCGUAGAUAUCGUUAGGAACGCCUAUGGUGAAAACAGGUAGCUGGGGGUGUGCUGACACUGAGACACGAAAGCCAGGGGAGCAAACGGG